rfam:Propionibacterium freudenreichii subsp. shermanii CIRM-BIA1, complete genome
CCAGUUGCCCGUUGAGGGCUUCCCGGACGAGGGGUGCCGUACCCGGUGCGCGACAAGACGGCCCAUG